rnacentral:rRNA from 1 species
AGAGUUUGAUCCUGGCUCAGGAUGAACGCUGGCGGCGUGCCUAACACAUGCAAGUCGAACGAAGCACUGCGGAUGGAGAUUCGUCAAAAUCUGCUUUGACUUAGUGGCGGACGGGUGAGUAAUGUGUGAGCAAUCUGCCCUUAAGAGGGGGAUAGCAGUUGGAAACGACUGAUAAUACCGCAUAAGAUAGUAGUACCGCAUGGUACAGCUAUAAAAGAUUUAUCGCUUAAGGAUGAGCUCGCGUCUGAUUAGCUAGUUGGUGAGGUAACGGCUCACCAAGGCAACGAUCAGUAGCCGGACUGAGAGGUUGGACGGCCACAUUGGGACUGAGACACGGCCCAGACUCCUACGGGAGGCAGCAGUGGGGAAUAUUGCACAAUGGAGGAAACUCUGAUGCAGCGAUGCCGCGUGAGGGAAGAAGGUUUUAGGAUUGUAAACCUCUGUUGACAGGGACGAUAAUGACGGUACCUGUUGAGGAAGCUCCGGCUAACUACGUGCCAGCAGCCGCGGUAAUACGUAGGGAGCGAGCGUUGUCCGGAUUACUGGGUGUAAAGGGAGCGUAGGCGGGAUCGCAAGUUAGUUGUGAAAUCCCUCGGCUCAACUGAGGAACUGCAACCAAAACUGGUUUUCUUGAGUGCAGGAGAGGAAAGUGGAAUUCCUAGUGUAGCGGUGAAAUGCGUAGAUAUUAGGAGGAACACCAGUGGCGAAGGCGACUUUCUGGACUGUAACUGACGUUGAGGCACGAAAGUGUGGGGAGCAAACAGGAUUAGAUACCCUGGUAGUCCACACUGUAAACGAUGGAUACUAGGUGUAGGGGGUAUUAAACCUUCUGUGCCGUCGCAAACGCAAUAAGUAUCCCACCUGGGGAGUACGACCGCAAGGUUGAAACUCAAAGGAAUUGACGGGGGCCCGCACAAGCAGUGGAGUAUGUGGUUUAAUUCGACGCAACGCGAAGAACCUUACCAGGUCUUGACAUCCAGUUAAACCUGUAGAGAUACAGGGUGUCUUCGGACAAACUGAGACAGGUGGUGCAUGGUUGUCGUCAGCUCGUGUCGUGAGAUGUUGGGUUAAGUCCCGCAACGAGCGCAACCCUUAUUUUCAGUUACUAACAGGUAAAGCUGAGGACUCUGAAGAGACUGCCGGGGACAACUCGGAGGAAGGUGGGGACGACGUCAAAUCAUCAUGCCCCUUAUGACCUGGGCUACACACGUGCUACAAUGGCCACCACAGAGAGGGGCGAACCCGUAAGGGGGAGCGGAUCUCAAAAAAGCGGUCUCAGUUCAGAUUGCAGGCUGCAACUCGCCUGCAUGAAGUCGGAAUUGCUAGUAAUCGCGGAUCAGAAUGCCGCGGUGAAUACGUUCCCGGGCCUUGUACACACCGCCCGUCACACCAUGGGAGUUGGGAGCACCCGAAGUCAGUGAGAUAACCGCAAGGAGUCAGCUGCCGAAGGUGAGACCGAUGACUGGGGUGAAGUCGUAACAAGGUAGCCGUAUCGGAAGGUGCGGCUGGAACACCUCCUU